AGUGAACGCUGGCGGUAGGCCUAACACAUGCAAGUCGAACGGCAGCACAGUAAGAGCUUGCUCUUACGGGUGGCGAGUGGCGGACGGGUGACGAAUACAUCGGAAUCUACUUUUUUGUGGGGGAUAACGUAGGGAAACUUACGCUAAUACCGCAUACGACCUACGGGUGAAAGCAGGGGAUCUUCGGACCUUGCGCGAUUGAAUGAGCCGAUGUCGGAUUAGCUAGUUGGCGGGGUAAAGGCCCACCAAGGCGACGAUCCGUAGCUGGUCUGAGAGGAUGAUCAGCCAGACUGGAACUGAGACACGGUCCAGACUCCUACGGGAGGCAGCAGUGGGGAAUAUUGGACAAUGGGCGCAAGCCUGAUCCAGCCAUACCGCGUGAGUGAAGAAGGCCUUCGGGUUGUAAAGCCCUUUUGUUGGGAAAGAAAAGCAGCAGGUUAAUACCCCGCUGUUCUGACGGUACCCAAAGAAUAAGCACCGGCUAACUUCGUG
rnacentral:rRNA from 1 species